CGCCGCGGUUAUACGAGGGGCCCAAGUUGAAAGAUACUGGCGUAAGAUGUGGCUAAGUAAAAAUUUAAACUAAAGUUAAACAUCUUCAACACUGUUAUACGUGCCCGAAGAGAGGAAUCCCAACCACGAAAGUGACUUUAUACCAGCUGAACCCACGAAAGCUAAGACA
rnacentral:rRNA from 1 species